UACGUAGGGUGCAAGCGUUGUCCGGAAUUAUUGGGCGUAAAGAGCUCGUAGGCGGUCUGUCACGUCGGAUGUGAAAAUCCAGGGCUCAACCCUGGACCUGCAUUCGAUACGGGCAGACUAGAAUUCGGUAGGGGAGUCUGGAAUUCCUGGUGUAGCGGUGAAAUGCGCAGAUAUCAGGAGGAACACCGGUGGCGAAGGCGGGAUCCUGGGCCAGUACUGACGCUGAGGAGCGAAAGCGUGGGGAGCAAACAGG
rnacentral:rRNA from 1 species